CCGAGAGAAAACUUCUUCUCUGCCUCCUUCUUCUCAUUCAUUCUUCUCAAUCUUUCUCAUUUGAUUAUUCUUUUUGCUGCAUCUUCCCACCUAUUUAUGUAUCUUCUUCUCUUCGUCGUCAUAGAUCCAUGGCCAGUGUUUUGCACAACAGUCUAAAACGUUGUUAGCCUAUCACCAUCAGUCAUUUAUAAUCAAUUCUCUCCGACAACUAAACUGUGGUCCAGAUUAACCGCUACUAGCUUCCUCAACACCAAACUAACGAUUGGUUAUAGAUCUCGAUGAAGGCAUGUUUUUCACGGGGAGAUCCUACUGCCAGAUGCUAAUGCUACCGUCGCCGUCGAAGAUCCGCUGCUGUCGAAGAUCCGCCACCGUUGAAGUUCCGCCGCCUUGGAAAUGAGUAGGGGCAAGGAGUUGAUAAAACCCUAAUUUUUGAUGGAUUUUGGUUGCUAUUUAAUUUGGGCUUUGUUUUGUAAAAUUUGGCCCACUAGUUUAGUGGUUUGUAAUUGUAAAUUUGUUAUUUUUAAAGCCCAUUCUUAUAAAUUUGGUCUAAUUCGGUUUAAUUAAACCGAAUUAAAUUAAAAUUCGGUUUAUUUCGGAAUU